GAAUCUCCUGUUCCGAAGCAGAGGGAAAGAGAAUGUUUUUUAGAAAGGCAGAAUAGAGAGAGAAGUCCUCAGAUAAAUCAGGCUCGUUGCUGGGAAGAGGCUGUGAAUCGUCCUCAGCCUGGAACUCAGCUUGGUGGGGAUUAGGAGCAAAAUGCCUUGGACCAGCUGCCUGCAGAAGUCAGAGGAACCUGGGAUGUCCCUGGCAAAAGUGGUGGUGGCUUGAAGCUACGAAGGAACAUGGCAGAGUCCUUAUGGAGCACAGCACUGUGGGACAGUUUUGCAGCCUACAGUUCUCCACAGGAUGCGAGUCCUCCAGGAAAGCAGGUAGGACCAAGAGUGAUUGGCUCAGUUACCCUCUAGAGAGAUUUGGCUUUAAACUGGGAAACACCUCAUAAGGACAAGCAGAGAAGCAAGCACCUAUGGCAGCUGGGCAAUGGCUUUAGAGAAGAAGCUAAGACAGAAAGUUGAGUGUAAUUCUGCCAAGGUUCAGUUUUCUUCUGACUUAAUGAAUGGAACCAGCUCACCGAGGGCUAUCUGCAGACUCCAAGGCUGGUGCAAGAACAUGCAGAAGUGGAGGAUGAAAGCAUGGAGAAAUAGGAGGGUCUCCUUUUCUGGUUCUCCUUGGCAUGUUAGCUUUAUCAGAGCAAAGUUCAAAGGUGCUUGAAAGGCUCAGAUGAUGUGGCUUCUCUUGUCUACUUUGCUGAGAGUCUGCCAGAUGGGAUUUUUUGAUGGUCCAGAAGUUCUCUUUGAGGGAUUGGCUAUCAAGCCACACUGCUCGGUGCAAGCAACGUGAUGGGCACCCAUCUUUUCCAAUAGAGGAGGAUUUACAGUGGGAGAACUGAAAGGGAGGAAACAAACUCUUGGAGAAUGUGACUACCUUGUGCCUCUGUCCUGGUGGGGGUGCAUGGGGGAUAGGACCGCACGUGGUGAAUACCUCUGUGCAGGGAAGAUAAAUUAGCCCAUCCCACCACCUCCAUCCCUGGCGGAAUUCUUUAGUGAGCCAGCUGGCUGAGCUGCUUGGGGACAAGAUUUAAGCAGCAUUUCUCAGCUCUGUGAGAUUCAUAGGUGACUGCAGGCUUCACUCGCACACAGUGGAACCCACAUGUUAAAGAAACCCAUGGGUUCCAACACCCAGCACCAGAUAAACAGUACCGUCUGUGAGGGAGUAGGUGGUCCACGGUGAAUCUGAUGUAGGCUACAACUAUAAUUAAUGUCCUGUGAAGCUGUAUCUCUCCAGUGCAUAUUUAAAGUCACGCUGGAGUCAGAGAAGGAGGUGUGAGGUGGUGUUGUCUACCAGGCACCCUCUCAUGUCCUCCUGGCCCAUGCUGCCCUUUUGAGAAAUGCCCUAAGUGGAUCACUCCAAAGCUAUUUGGAACAUAAGAUUAACAGAGGGGUUAUACUUCACCCUUUGGGGUCAAUCUCUGUUCAUUCGGGGACAGCAACCUUAAAGUUUUCAAAAGAGGCUUUGUAUUCAAUCAUGGAUGCUAAAGGCUUACACAAAGAUCUGAACACUGUCUCCUCUUCUAGAUGGUCCAAAUCCAUUUUCAAAUGGUAAAAGAAGGUCUACGAUCCUUAUUUAUUUAACAUAUGUGCAUGUUUUGCUAUUCACAUCUAUGCAAAUGUUAUUUUUAUGUACAGAGGUUACUUACUGUGGACACUGGGAAAGCCAGGACACUGAAAAGAAGGUCUCUGCUGGAAAUUACACACUUAGCACAUCGCAGUUCCUUAAUUAGCCUCAACACAUCAGCCAGGAAGGACACCCCAUAGAAGACAGCCUGCAAAAACUAAAACUAAACAGAGAUGUGUCAUGUGAUUCGGAUCGAGGAAUGGAAGGACAUGUUGAAAGCAGCUCCAUCGCGCCUUAUAUGUUAAUCGUUAUGUUCAGUGUAUCUGAGGAGGAACAGAAGUAAACAAAAUUUGGAAUAUGCCAGGAGAUGUUUCCGUGCUACACAGCAGCUCAUGCUGAACCAGAUGUGUCAGACACACAAAGCCUAACAGAAAAAAAUCUCCUGCUAUCUCACGUUCAGACAGCUGAGUCUAGUUUGGUUCCGUUAAUUCAUGGAGUGGCCUCAUCUUUAAGGCUAGAGUGGACCAAAGUGAUGCAACAUGGGAAAAUCAGCCUACUGCGAAUUCUGGAGCAGCUACUGAUGCUCAAAUGCCGUGUUACAGCUUUCAGGAUGAGAUCUAUUUUGCCAUGAGCUUAUUCUGAAUCAGUGUUUAUUUCAAGAAUAGUAUCUGAAGUUGUUGCUGAUUACUUCAUUGGUUUGUGAAGGAGCUGAGAAGGGUGGUGCUUGGGAGGGGACAGAAUUAGUGCAACACUUCUCCUUCCAAAAUCUCUGUUAUGAAAAGGAUUGAGGGAAGGAAGGUCUGAUUUCACCAUACCCAUCUUCACACUAGGACAUCUGCAAGCUUUGAUAGAAUGUUUUAGAGACCAAGCUGCCUUACAUGUGGCCACUCAGGAUGAGGCCACAUAUCACCUGGUUCAGCUGCAAAACCUCACGUUUCCCCUCUAGAGCAUGAGGCAAACACAGCUGCAUUUUUUAUAUAAAAAUACACACAUGGUUUUGUUCAACUCCAAGGUGUCCAAACCAGCUCUUUAAAUGUGGCUUUCUCUUUCCACACUCUCUCUAUUACUACAGUUAGCCUCUGUGGUUCCCAGCACAACUUCAUAGAAUCAUAGAAUGGCUUGGGUAGCAAGGGACCUUAGAGAUCACCCAGUUCCAAUCCCCUGCCAUAGACAGGAUUGCCACUCAGUGUCAGCCAGGGCCCCAUCCAUCCUGGUCUUAAAUGCCUCCAGGGAUGGGGCAUCCACAGGUUCUCUGGCCAUGAAUCUGAAUCCACUUGGGGAUUCAGCCCUCCAAGUCACGGUUCUGGUUCACAGACGUACGUGCCAGGGUGUAGUGUGCUUAAAGCCCCACACACGCUCAACCCAAACACAUGUCCAAGUGGUUGGCCUCACCAAGACACCAAAACCAAGUCCUUGAAGAGCUAAGAAAAGCCUGGUAAUAAACAGAAGCUCUUGUUAUCCUUUGUAGAGCCUGCAGUAACUUCCUGUAAAAAGCCUGAAAAAUGAGCAUGGGGGUGGUGACAGUCUGGUGACACAUAGUGACUAAUGACCAAUAAAGCAGUUAGGGAAAGGCAUGGUUCCCAGAGGAUGGGGCUAUUAUUAUCUUGUUCAUGUUCAGCCUUAUAUUAGUCAUGGGACAGAGAUAGGCUUCUCCCUCCCCAUGACCCUUCAAAGUUGAUUAAAACAAACAUAUCUUGAAAGAACCAGAGAGUUCCAAAACAGCCACGUCAAUCUGUUAAAUAUUCUGUCUUACUUAGGGGAGAAGAAUGUUAUCUUCUGAAUGGAAAGUACUUAUCCAAGUAUGUAAUCUGAUCCAUUUCUCUAGCUGAGCACUAAGAGCAUCUCCUGAAGAAGUUUGAAUUCCGUCUCAGCAGCUCAUUUUACGCACUGCUCACAGCUCAACCCAUGUCCAUCGGUGUGGAUUCAAAGGGUUUUCAGUCACUUUGUGAUCACCCUGUAUUUUCAGGAGCAAUGGAAGGACAUACAAAUAAUUUGCAGACCAGAAAAUUGAACCUAGCAAGAACCAUUCCUCUGGCAUGGUGAGCCAACAGUGGCUUGAAUCAGAGCUCCCAGCUUGCAAUCUUCCAAAGUUGGUCUUAUUAUUGUAAGAAGGUGUAUCCGAAUCUUGCAGCCCUUCACUAAUGGGCUAGAUGAACUUUAAAGGCCCUUCCAGCUCAAAUAAUUCUACAAAUGUUGAAAAAAUGUUGAGAAACAUUGGGAAAAUGUUGAGAUUAAAAAAAAAAAAAUUGACAUGAAAACAUGAAAUUAUUCCAGAUGUCCUGUGAAUUUCCCAAAGACUGAAAGCAUUCAGAAAGCUAACAACUUACCCAAGGGGGAGAGUAUGGAUAUGACUAUCCCCGUUGGAGAGAUGUUACUUUCCUCUGCAGACCCUGCACAACUCCAUGGUGCUAGGUGCUGUAGAAACCCUUCAUUUGCCACAUCGAUUUUCCAAACUAAGGGUCAUUGUGACAAAGGAAAACCAUAAUUUUUAUCUGCUUCCCUGAUCAAAGGGGUGUUUCUGUUUAACUGACCCGGCAUGAUUCACUUUCACAUGUCAGAUCAGCCAUACGUAUGUAUUGGAUUCUCAAACUUGUAGAAAUAAACUGGGCUCCAAACUCUGCCCUGAAGGGGGAAUAAAUCUAAUAAUUUGAAGUGACCUAUUAGAUACAACAGUCAACAUUUAGUGUAGACAUACGUGCCUUCACAGGAUAACAAUCUGAAAAAUAGGUGAACUAAAUGGGAGGUCUAUUUGGUAAUAUGUUAAAAAAUCAACUUUCAGAAGAAUUGAAAAUAUUUCAGUUACAUGAGGCAAAAGCACAAGGAGUAAAAUGGGGCAGGAAUGCAAUUAAUAGUUUUCAAAGGUGCAGUGUGCUCAUUGUUCAGUGCUUUCCUGAUAGAUUUAUGGCAGAGAGCAGAUUUUCAUGAGCUCAGCUAUUUCAGGCGGUGAAUGAUUCUGUUUGUAUUCUUUUGUAUCACAGACAA